GACGAACGCUGGCGGCAUGCCUAACACAUGCAAGUCGAACGGAGAUUACUUCGGUACUCUUAGUGGCGAACGGGUGAGUAACGCGUGGGCAACCUGCCCUCUAGAUGGGGACAACAUCCCGAAAGGGGUGCUAAUACCGAAUGUGACAGCAACUUCGCAUGAGGAUGCUGUGAAAGAUGGCCUCUAUCUAUAAGCUAUCGCUAGAGGAUGGGCCUGCGUCGGAUUAGCUAGUUGGUGGGGUAACGGCCUACCAAGGCGAUGAUCAGUAGCCGGUCUGAGAGGAUGAACGGCCCAAUUGGGAAUGAGACACGGCCCAGACUCCUACGGGAGGCAGCAGUGGGGAAUCUUCCGAAAUGGGCGAAAGCCUGACGGAGGAAUGCCGCGUGGGUGAUGAAGGAAUUCGUUACGUAAAGGUCUUUUGUUUAUGACGAAUGUGCAGAUUGUAAAUAAGAAUCUGUAAUGACGGUAGUAACAGAAUAAGCCACGGCUAACUACGUG
rnacentral:rRNA from 1 species